ACUAUCAUUAACUGAAUCCAUAGGUUAAUGAGGCGAACCGGGGGAACUGAAACAUCUAAGUACCCCGAGGAAAAGAAAUCAACCGAGAUUCCCCCAGUAGCGGCGAGCGAACGGGGAGCAGCCCAGAGCCUGAAUCAGUGUGUGUGUUAGUGGAAGCGUCUGGAAAGGCGCGCGAUACAGGGUGACAGCCCCGUACACAAAAAUGCACAUGCUGUGAGCUCGAUGAGUAGGGCGGGACACGUGGUAUCCUGUCUGAAUAUGGGGGGACCAUCCUCCAAGGCUAAAUACUCCUGACUGACCGAUAGUGAACCAGUACCGUGAGGGAAAGGCGAAAAGAACCCCGGCGAGGGGAGUGAAAAAGAACCUGAAACCGUGUACGUACAAGCAGUGGGAGCCUCUUUAUGGGGUGACUGCGUACCUUUUGUAUAAUGGGUCAGCGACUUAUAUUCUGUAGCAAGGUUAACCGAAUAGGGGAGCCGAAGGGAAACCGAGUCUUAACUGGGCGUUAAGUUGCAGGGUAUAGACCCGAAACCCGGUGAUCUAGCCAUGGGCAGGUUGAAGGUUGGGUAACACUAACUGGAGGACCGAACCGACUAAUGUUGAAAAAUUAGCGGAUGACUUGUGGCUGGGGGUGAAAGGCCAAUCAAACCGGGAGAUAGCUGGUUCUCCCCGAAAGCU
rnacentral:rRNA from 1 species